UCAAAUAAAGAUUACAAUUAAAUAUAAUUAUAAUCAAAUAUGAAUCUAUUGAUGUAAUAUUAGAUCAAGUAUCUACUAAAGAUUUAACAUGAACAAUAAUUUAAUUCCAGCGUAAGCAU